rnacentral:rRNA from 1 species
UACGAAGGGGGCUAGCGUUGCUCGGAAUCACUGGGCGUAAAGCGCACGUAGGCGGAUUGUUAAGUCAGGGGUGAAAUCCUGGAGCUCAACUCCAGAACUGCCUUUGAUACUGGCGAUCUCGAGUUCGGGAGAGGUGAGUGGAACUGCGAGUGUAGAGGUGAAAUUCGUAGAUAUUCGGAAGAACACCAGUGGCGAAGGCGACUUACUGGACACAUAUUGACGCUGAGGUGCGAAAGCGUGGGGAGCAAACAGG